rnacentral:lncRNA from 1 species
GACAACUCUGCGCCAAGCAGACUGGCGAUCUAAUAUCUCCUUUGCAAACUCGGGAUCCACCAGGAGGUUGGAUAGUUCUGCGUUCCGAUCAUAGGCCUUCUUGAUACGGUCCAAGAAAAUUGCACGGAUAAUGCAACCUCCCUUCCAUAUCCUUGCAAGUUCACCCAGCUUUAGAUCCCAUCCCUUCUCGGUGCUCUUCGCUCUAAUCAGGUUCAUGCCUUGUGCAUAGCUACAAAUCUUUGAGGCAUAAAGAGCUUGCCUCACGUCAUCGAUCAACUUAGCCUUGUCGACAGGCUUGCUUUCCAAGACAUCGCUGAAUCCACCAGACUGAAAAACCUUAGCAGCUUCGACUCUUUCUUCUUUUAGUCCACUAAGAAACCUGGAAUCCAAAGAUGCUGCAAUUGUUGGAGCAGCCACUGAUAAUUCAGCUGCUUGUUGCACGGUCCAUUUACCAGUACCUUUCAUCCCGGUCUUGUCCAAGACUUUAUCGACCAGAUGGCCAUCACCCUUGUCAUCCUUGACCCCAAAAAUGUCAGCUGUGAUCUCGAUCAAGAA